ACAAGACACCGGCAGGUAGCGUUUUUUUUCAAUCAGGUAUAUGGUUGUUAUUUAAGUAAAGACAACACCAGCAUCCAGUCGGACCAAAGGGACCUUUGCAGAGCCGGAUCGAGUCCCGAUGCUGUUGGUUGCGUCACACACGUAGGUGCCCUGCAGGUCGUACGUGAUCGGCCCCUUCAGGGUCAGGACGUUGUCUCGGAUCUCAGCAUUGCUCGGGAUGGAGCCAUUAACCCUGCAGCAAAUACAAGAAAUGAAAACAUCGACACGAAGUGGACACAAGUUGUGCAACUAAGAGGAACGUGGUGUAUUCACAGAUGUAGGUGGACUCGUCGGAGAGGCGCAGCGUGGAGAAGGUGAUGGUGGUGUCCUCCAGAGAUGGAGUCCGCCUCCUCACUGCUCCGUUCUUGAAUGUGACUCGGUCCCUGAAGGGCGGGGCCACGGACACACCCAGGGAGGGAUUGGCGAUGGCCACGUUCUGCUUAGUGCCAUUCACCAGCUUCUGCCAGGUUACCUUGAGGAAGAACGAUUGGAGAAAUGAAGAAGUCCUUAGAGAGGGUUCACCAUGCAUGCAUUCAGCGUGCCUUCUGCACAGAGCAUGAACAGCCCACUGAUCUGUGAUUGAGAAGUAAGUGAAAAUAAGUAAAUAGUUUACCUUCAAAUGUAUUUAAGACAUCAUUACUUUUCUUUUUCAGUGGAUAUCUUCAUCUAUGUGAUUGUAGCAUUUAGCUCCCUCACUUUCAAAAAAUAAGUCCGUCCUUGGACGAUUUUGGUCAUAUCCAUCCACAUAAAGCAACCACUGAACUUCCCUUAGUUAACCACUGGCACCUUGUGAUGCAGGCUGCUUCCAGCUUACUUUGUGAAAUUCCUUUUAUGGCCUUGGGAUGGAGCCAUUUUACAUGAG